rnacentral:rRNA from 1 species
CCUACGGGAGGCAGCAGUGGGGAAUAUUGCGCAAUGGGCGAAAGCCUGACGCAGCAACGCCGUGUGAGGGGUGAAGGCCUUCGGGUUGUAAACCUCUUUCGAGCAGGGACGAUAAUGACGGUACCUGCAGAAGAAGCUCCGGCCAACUACGUGCCAGCAGCCGCGGUAAUACGUAGGGAGCGAGCGUUGUCCGGAUUCAUUGGGCGUAAAGAGCUCGUAGGCGGCUUGAUAAGUCGGAUGUGAAACCUCCAGGCUCAACCUGGAGUCGCCAUCCGAUACUGUCAUGGCUAGAGUCCGGUAGGGGCCCACGGAACUCCUGGUGUAGCGGUGAAAUGCGCAGAUAUCAGGAAGAACACCGGUGGCGAAGGCGGUGGGCUGGGCCGGCACUGACGCUGAGGAGCGAAAGCGUGGGGAGCGAACAGGAUUAGAUACCCUGGUAGUCCACGCCGUAAACGUUGGGCACUAGGUGUGGGGUCUUAUCAACGGAUUCCGUGCCGUAGCUAACGCAUUAAGUGCCCCGCCUGGGGAGUACGGCCGCAAGGCUAAAACUCAAAGGAAUUGACGG